rnacentral:rRNA from 1 species
AUUGAACGCUGGCGGCAUGCCUUACACAUGCAAGUCGAACGGCAGCACGGGAGCAAUCCUGGUGGCGAGUGGCGAACGGGUGAGUAAUAUAUCGGAACGUGCCCAGUAGUGGGGGAUAGCCCGGCGAAAGCCGGAUUAAUACCGCAUACGACCUAAGGGUGAAAGCGGGGGACCGUAAGGCCUCGCGCUAUUGGAGCGGCCGAUAUCAGAUUAGGUAGUUGGUAGGGUAAAAGCCUACCAAGCCAUCGAUCUGUAGCUGGUCUGAGAGGACGACCAGCCACGCUGGAACUGAGACACGGCCCAGACUCCUACGGGAGGCAGCAGUGGGGAAUUUUGGACAAUGGGCGAAAGCCUGAUCCAGCCAUGCCGCGUGCAGGAAGAAGGCCUUCGGGUUGUAAACUGCUUUUGUCGGGGAAGAAACGCUCUGGGCUAAUACCCUGGGGUAAUGACGGUACCCGAAGAAUAAGCACCGGCUAACUACGUGCCAGCCGCCGCCGUAA